ensembl:lncRNA
UACAGUAUAUGGCUACCUUUAUUUACAUGUAUCAAGUGUAUGUUGGUUGGUGACUGUUCUUUGAAAAGUUUAAGGCAAAGACUACAGAUAGAUAUGGUGUGUAUAAAAGUUGUGCCGUUGUCACCAAUAAAGACGACCCUGACUAACACUGGCACGCUCUGCUGGUCACAUCGAAAGUACACCGUAAAAAUUAAACAAAUGUCCUUCUCUCUCUACAUUUGACAUUAACCAUGAACACACAAAAGAGACCAUCUGUAACCAGAUGGCUGUAGGGUUCAAAUCAAAUGUCAUGUCACAUGCUUUUGUAAACAAUACGUGUAGACCGACAGUGAAAUGCUUACUUAAAUCUACCCCUGUUAGUUAUGAAGCAUGUGACAUUAUGUUCAAGUUAAACUUUUGUAUAAAUACUAAAUAUUUCAGUGUAAUUAUACAGUAGGCUGAUUGAUGGUGACAAGUGACAAUUAGCGUUUUCAAAGUUCUAUAUCUUGAAAACUGGAUUGCUGCACUGCAAAACAUUUUUUGGGGGGCUGUAUCAACAGUGGACGAAUGAAACAAAUAUACACAAAAAUAUCAUUUUGGGAGUGGAAUUGACCUUCAAGUCAAAGUUGCUGAAUUAAAAAGGUGAUCAUCCCUGUAAAAUGUCUAUUCCCGACGCGCUUCAUAUCGUCAGCUCACUCUCAAUAUCACGUUAGAGGAUGAGGCAUCUCUAUCAUGUACAGUAUGCGUUCUCUAUGCCCAUUGGACAGACUGAAAAGCGGACCUGAGACCUCCCUCAGUGUUCCGACGCAGCAUUAAGAACAGACAGAAUAUACAUCUAGAUGCUGAUCCACACAUUAUACCGGUCUGUCAGCUGGACAAUGGCUUCACCAUGAGCAGGUCUGAUCACCUUUCAGUUUAGAGACAAGGGCAGCAGGUCUGAUCACCUUUCAGUUUAGAGACAAGGGCAGCAGGUCUGAUCACCUUUCAGUUUAGAGACAAGGGCAGCAGGUCAGAUCACCUUUCAGUUUAGAGACAAGGGCAGCAGGUCAGACCACCUUUCAGUUUAGAGACAAGGGCAGCAGGUCAGACCACCUUUCAGUUUAGAGACAAGGGCAGCAGGUCAGACCACCUUUCAGUUUAGAGACAAGGGCAGCAGGUCAGACCACCUUUCAGUUUAGAGACAAGGGCAGCAGGUCUGAUCACCUUUCAGUUUAGAGACAAGGGCAGCAGGUCUGAUCACCUUUCAGUUUAGAGACAAGGGCAGCAGGUCUGAUCACCUUUCAGUUUAGAGACCAGGGCAGCAGGUCAGAUCACCUUUCAGUUUAGAGACCAGGGCAGCAGGUCUGAUCACCUUUCAGUUUAGAGACCAGGGCAGCAGGUCUUGAUCACCUUUCAGUUUAGAGUCCAGGGCAGCAGGUCAGAUCACCUUUCAGUUUAGAGACAAGGGCAGCAGGUCUGAUCACCUUUCAGUUUAGAGACCAGGGCAGCAGGUCUGAUCACCUUUCAGUUUAGAGACCAGGGCAGCAGGUCUGAUCAUAUAAAUAGAACACGGUCGACUUGAAAUGUCUGUUCUAGAUAUUUUAUUUGAAUUAGUGUGAUUCUGUUUUACUGUACCGCUCUGCCUUACCAGCAGUCUUCUACCUAUAGCGGACAUUCUGCUGGUUAAAUGAACAGCUGAACGAAAACAGAUAAACACUUGAGAUACAGAGAGAGAGAGAGAGACAGAGAGAGAGAGAGACAGAGAGAGAGAGAGAGACAGAGAGAGAGAGAGAGAGAGAGAGAGAAAAGAUACAGGUUUCACCUUAGUGCACAGGAGCAGUAACAAUGUCACCAACCAACACCAUAAAAAUGGAAUAUCUUUAAACUAACAAACUCUUUGUCCUUGAGACUUCAGUAUAUUCAAAAUGAAACUACCAAAAGAUCUGAACAACAAAAAAUCAUUCAAAUGACUACAUACUAAUACAGUAUAGUGUUUUAAAUUACUCUGUACAUCUUGGAACGGUCCCCAAAAAAGCUACUUAUUUCCUAUACAGUGCACUACAUUCAUCAGGGCCCAUACGACUCUACUUUUGCUCAAAGGUAGUGCACUAUAUAGGGAAUAGGUUGUUAUUUGGGACGUAAGCACUAAGUCACGUGACUGGGCGGAAGGGAGAUACUGUACAAGAAAAACAUUACUUCAAAUGAAUACACACUUUUUUUUUUUUUUUUUUUUUUUUUUUUAACACAGAACCCCCUACACACACACACGAGUAGAGUACAGUGUUUGGAGGACGACAACAAUCUCCCAGUUCACAAUCAGACCCUUUCUCAUUUUCAUAUAGAGAACAAAUGAGACCACCAUGUGUGGGAGGUUAUGUGGGGGCAGGGCAUAUCAGGGAAGCACCUCCCACCCCCGCAUCCCUGAUAAGCCCGCCCCCGCAUCCCUGAUAAGCCCGCCC